AUGGCGGGACCGGCCACGCCUCCCAUGGCGCGCGCCCACUGCAGGAUCUUCCUGGAUGUUCAGCUUGAAUCUUCUGGACCGGGAACAGUGAGGCCUGGGGAAACUCUCAACCUGCUCUGUAAAGUGACUGGGAUCUCCAUCUCUACUCAGAAUUAUGCAUGGCAUUGGAUCCGGCAGCCUCGUGACAAAGGUCUAGAAUGGAUUACAGGAAUAUACCUCUAUGGUGGAAGAAAAUACUAUGCCACUUCUCUAAAGAGUCGAAUCACCAUUUCUUCAGACUCCUCCAAGAAUGAGUUCUCCCUCCAGCUGAGUUCUGUGACACCCGAGGACUCGGCUGUGUAUUUCUGUGCCCAGGAAACACAUUGA